UUAAAACCAAAUGCGAUGUUGUAUGAGAUUUACUUGUGAGCAGAAAUAUGCCCAAACUCCACGAUAUGUUAAGCAAAUACACUUUCGUUUAGUUAUAUAGGAUUUGCUAAUUUACUAUAACAUGAGGCUGCCGUUCGUUGCAUACGUUGUAUGUGGAAGUUGAGCAUAACUUGCUAAGCAUGGGUAUUACAUAUAAGUACACCUUUGUGGUACGCAAUUUUUAUAUUGAUAAUAACAGCGUACAAAGUAAAAAUUAGCACGAAAAGAUGAAAGGCAAUAUAUUCUUGUUCAUAUUACUAUCGUAUGGAGGCCAGGGGCUAAGCAGGCCUACCUAAACUACACAAAUUCAAAAAAAUAUCCGCAAGUAUCAGACAUGUCUUAUAAAUAUUAGAUUAAUAAUUUAAACAUCCAAAAACAAUUAUAAACUCAUUACUAACCCUAGCGCAAUCACCUUUUAUGUAAACACUAGUCUAACUUAGUAAAUAAACUUAUGAAAAGAAACAAAGAGGGAAGGUCAAAGAAUAAGCAGAAAACUAAAGAUCAAACUUAUUGAAUAACAGAAGAAAAACGAUAAUAAGAAAUCAUAAAAAUCAUUAAUUUACAAAAAUUUUAGAAAAGUGAAGGUUCGGAAAUUUGGAGUUCAUGCGGAAAUUGACAAAUUAUUCGGCCUGGACGGGGAUUCAUUUAAGUCCUGUGAGGUUGAGGAAGACAAUAAAACCGAGUAAGGAAAUAAUUCAAAUACAAAUUGUUGAAUCUGAACACGGUAAUGGAAUUUUCCCAGAAUGGUCAUACAAGCUUUCACCAAACGUUUAGAGGAGAAAACUUUAGCAUUUUUCGAACGAAUCUUUGUUAGUUGCCGUGCUGACUCGUUUGUUAAAACAUGGUUUGACAAAUUGGAAACGAGCCUAAUUACCUCUCUCUCUGAGUUAGUUAAAGAGCUAAGUAAUGAAGAAAACUCAGGAGUUGGCACGCGCUCAUUUACAAACUCAACAUUUCUCCUUGGAGUUGAUAAUACUUGUCCAGCAUGUCUCGGAAUGCAAAUUCCUUGUGAAGUGCCCAUUAAAGACAUAAGGCUAUACCAAUGCAGUGAUUCGAGUAUCUCAACGCCUUUAGAAGUCCUGGAAAUCAAGCCUAAUACAAAAUAAGCAGUUCCUCGAACAGUAGGAAUCAAUGAAUUUUCGGCAUAUUUGACAAUCAACGGUAUCGUAUCAUGGUUAAUUAAAAACGUAAUACCCUGAUCGGUUUUUCCAAUGUUUCCUAUAGCCCAAAGAGCACUCUUUAACUGCCUGAUGGCUUCAUUUCCUAACGGUUUAUCGUAAAAUUCCACCAAGGUACCCAUAAAAGAUUCAAAAUGCCCAGAAGACUCGAGAACCUCACAACCUUGUGGAGAUUUGACUAAUUCGCCAUAAAAGUGUAGGGGAAGUAUAUUUUCAUCUGGUUCAUUGUUUUUCUUGUC